AUCUUCGGGGCGAGGUGCGAUUCCUCACCGGCGGUAAUGCGCAAAAGGCGCAGAGCCCGCGAGCCUGUAUUCAGGUUGAUCCGGUGUGAUUCCGGAGCCGACGGUUACAGUCCGGAUGGAAGAAGAU
rnacentral:ncRNA from 1 species